rfam:Listeria monocytogenes EGD-e, complete genome
UAGUAAGAUUUGAACUUGUGCUUUGAUUUAAGAGGAGGUAUUUUCUAUGACUAAAGUUAUUUUAACUAUUUUUGCAAUUAUUGUUCCCGCGUUUCUUGGAUUUAUACUUGCUUACCAAAUCUAUAAGAAAAAAACAGCCACUUAUAUGCCAUUAAAAAAUGAAUUUGUACACUGGGCUAAAUAAGCGCACAUUAAGGAGGAAAACAAAUUGAAAAAAACAGAAAGUGAAAAACCACUUGUCAUCAAAAUUGUUAUCAGCGUUCUCGUAGGUUUAUUUUUACUUAAUUUAAUGCCAUUUUUAGCGAUUUUCGGCUAAUUAUAUAUACUUAAAAAAGGCUUGAAGGUGCUUAUUUUUUAUGGUAUAUUGUAAAUUGUGUUGAAAUGAAUAGCAAUUUUUUAUGGUGAGACAAUUAAUGACAAAGAUGUCAGUUAAUGCUUUUUUUAUAAAAAGACUCCAGAGUGCCUAUUUAGAGGUGUUCUUGGGUCUUUUUUUGU